UACGUAGGAUGCAAGCGUUGUCCGGAUUUAUUGGGUUUAAAGGGUGCGUAGGAGGCCUAUUAAGUUAGUGGUGAGAACGUUCGGAUUAACCGGAUACCCGCCAUUGAUACUGAUAGACUUGAGUGCGACAGAGGGUGUUGGAAUGUGUGGUGUAGCGGUGAAAUGCUUAGAUAUCACGCAGAACACCAAUUGCGAAGGCAGAUGCCUAUGUCGUAACUGACGCUGAGGCACGAAAGCGUGGGGAGCAAACAGG
rnacentral:rRNA from 1 species